rnacentral:rRNA from 1 species
UACAGAGGGUGCGAGCGUUAAUCGGAAUUACUGGGCGUAAAGCGUGCGUAGACGGCUAUCUAAGUCGGGUGUGAAAGCCCCGGGCUCAACCUGGGAAUUGCAUUCGAGACUGAAUAGCUAGGGUACGGUAGAGGGAAGCGGAAUUUCCGGUGUAGCGGUGAAAUGCGUAGAUAUCGGGAGGAACACCAGUGGCGAAGGCGACUACCUGGCCUGUUCUUGACGCUGAGGCGCGAAAGCUAGGGGAGCAAACGGG